rnacentral:piRNA from 1 species
UGUAAAACCAUGUGUUCAUGACAGGCGCCC